UGAGUGGGAUCAGAGGAAAGGAAGGAAAGUGAACAGACUAGAACUUGCCCCUUCUAUAGUACUGCACCUUGUAAGCACUCCCAUCUGGUGACGACUACGUGUUUUGACAGCCCUGCUGAGACGACUCAGAAAAAAACAAAACCUAGGCACAGAGAGGCAAACGUUCUCUGAUCCAUCUGUGCAUGAUGAGUAAGAUGACACAAUCGGUUACAGACCUAUUCAUUUCAAUGGGGCCGCAAAAGAAGCGGACAGCACAACGUAUGCUGUCAGGAUCCGCACGUCUGUUACGUGGCCACGAAAAAAU